CGGAGCUCCGUGUCCGUUUGUUAGCCCUUCUCAGCUCGUGCGGUGCCCAGAGCGCACGCUUCUGUGUUUCCUGCGAUGGAGGUCGGACGAUAACAAAUGGAGACAGUCUGAAAAAGCUCCUGGGGAAUUGAAGAUGUCUUGACUACCCGCAGAACAGAGCGGAGGACAAACAACCAGCAGAGACAGGCAUUUCAAAUCUAUACGGCGGAGAACAUAUCAUUACGUAACCAGAAUGGACAACAGUGUACCAAGAUGUCCUCAGACUUUCCCUCCGUUUUCCAGCCACCUGAUCGCACUCCACCCAGCACAGGUGUGCUGGGUGGAGUAAAAAUAGCAGCCACUUCCUGCUCCUGCUCCUAGCUGCCUGUCUGUGACCUGCUUCCUGACUUCCCCCUUUUGGAUUAAGCG